rnacentral:rRNA from 1 species
GACGAACGCUGGCGGCGUGCUUAACACAUGCAAGUCGAACGGAAAGGCCCUGCUUUUGUGGGGUGCUCGAGUGGCGAACGGGUGAGUAACACGUGAGUAACCUGCCCUUGACUUUGGGAUAACUUCAGGAAACUGGGGCUAAUACCGGAUAGGUGCUCCUGCUGCAUGGUGGGGGUUGGAAAGUUUCGGCGGUUGGGGAUGGACUCGCGGCUUAUCAGCUUGUUGGUGGGGUAGUGGCUUACCAAGGCUUUGACGGGUAGCCGGCCUGAGAGGGUGACCGGCCACAUUGGGACUGAGAUACGGCCCAGACUCCUACGGGAGGCAGCAGUGGGUAAUAUUGCACAAUGGGCGGAAGCCUGAUGCAGCAACGCCGCGUGCGGGAUGACGGCCUUCGGGUUGUAAACCGCUUUCGCCUGUGACGAAGCGUGAGUGACGGUAAUGGGUAAAGAAGCACCGGCUAACUACGUG